GAUGAACGCUGGCGGCGUGCCUAACACAUGCAAGUCGAGCGAUGAUUUUCUCUUCGGAGAAAUGAUUAGCGGCGGACGGGUGAGUAACACGUGGGUAACCUGCCUCAUAGAGGGGAAUAGCCUUCCGAAAGGAAGAUUAAUACCGCAUAACAUUGUCGAGUGGCAUCACUUGAUAAUCAAAGGAGCAAUCCGCUAUGAGAUGGACCCGCGUCGCAUUAGUUAGUUGGUGGGGUAAUGGCCUACCAAGACGACGAUGCGUAGCCGACCUGAGAGGGUGAUCGGCCACAUUGGGACUGAGACACGGCCCAGACUCCUACGGGAGGCAGCAGUGGGGAAUAUUGCACAAUGGAGGAAACGCUGAUGCAGCAACGCCGCGUGAGUGAUGAAGGUUUUCGGAUCGUAAAACUCUGUCUUUGGGGAUGAUAAUGACAGUACCCAAGGAGGGAGCCACGGCUAACUACGUGCCAGCCGCCGCGGUAACAC
rnacentral:rRNA from 1 species